rnacentral:hammerhead_ribozyme from 1 species
UGCUGACGAGUCCCAAAUAGGACGAAACAGCUGUCCA